UUUAUAAUUCUUCCGUCUUUAACCCACAAAAAUUAUAGCCACCCUAACCGCAAGGACAAAAAUAAAAUCUAAAAAGAAGACCUCGUACCUUUUGCAUCAUGGCUUUGCAAGAAUAAUGCUAACAUACUCCUCCCCGAAAUUUAGUGAGCUGACUAUUACUUGCUAAGAGCCCAAUAAUUAAUGUAACAAUAUUAUUAUAAAAGUAACUGUCAGAGGCUACAUACCUAUCGCACUAAAAUAUAGCUGGUUUUUCAGUUCCCAGUCUAAUCUGCUCAAGCUGUUCCUCGCUCCCACCUCUCCCAGCUAUGAAACAUAAUUAAGGACAAGCUUAAUUAUUACACCUUAUUAAAUCAAAAUAAUUAUAACUAUGUAGGCCUAAAACCAGCCACCAUAACAUUACGUUAUAGUAUCCAAACUAAAAUUUCAAAAAAAUACUCACUUUCUGAAAUAAAUUAUAAAACCCACAAUAACUUAUACUAUGCAAAGAUCAGUAUUCCCCAACCCAAUAAAACACAAAAAUCCAAUAUAUGAAUAAGGAACUCGGCAACUCUUUAUUCCGACUGUUUAACAAAAACAUUGCCUGUAGCACCCUCUAUUACAGGUACACCCUGCCCAGUGUAAUUAUUAACGGCCGCGGUACCCUGACCGUGCAAAGGUAGCAUAAUAAUUUGCCUUUUAAUUGAAGGCUAGUAUGAAAGGGCAAACGAGAAUAAGACUGUCUCAUUCAUAACCAUAAAAAUUUAUCCUCAGGUGAAGAAGCCUGAAUUUAUAUAAAAGACAAGAAGACCCCGUCGAGCUUUAGCUUAAUAUGCGACCCCUAACACUUGCCUUACCCCAUCUCGCAUAGAAACUUUUGUUGGGGCGACAACGGAAUAUAUCAAUCUUCCGUAACACCAAAGACCCUACGUCAUCUAAAUGAUCCCUUACCGAUCACAAGAAAUAGCUACCGCAGGGAUAACAGACUAAUCUUCCUCCGGAGCCCAAAUCUACAGGAAGGCUUGGCACCUCGAUGUUGGCUUAGGAAAAUCCCUCAGAUGAAGCAGUCUGAGAAGUGGGUUUGUUCAACCCUUAAUAUCCUACAUGAGCUGAGUUCAGACCGGCGUAAGCCAGGUUAGAUUCUAUCUUUAUAUAAAACAAAGCUUACUAGUACGAAAGGACCGUAAACUAUAAAAUAUAUUUACCUCACAGAAAUUUAUAAAUCCUCAUAAACCAACCAACUUU
rnacentral:rRNA from 1 species